rnacentral:rRNA from 1 species
CAGUAGCCGCGGUAAAACCAGCAGCCCAAGUGGUGGUCGCGAUUAUUGGGCCUAAAGCGCUCGUGGCCGGGCCGGUAAGUCCCUUGUGAAAUCGGACGGCCUAACCGUUCGGCGUGCAAGGGAUACUGUCGGUCUUGAGGCCGGGAGACGUCCGAGGUACUCCGGGGGUAGCGGUGAAAUGUUCUGAUCCUCGGGGGACCACCGGUGGCGAAGGCGUUCGACGAGAACGGGCCUGACGGUGAGGGGCGAAGGCUAGGGGAGCAAACGGGAUUAGAUACCCCCGUAGUCCCUGUCUCUUAUA